UUCACAUUUUUUCUUGCAUUUAGCAGUGAAUUCACCUGAAAACUUGUAGUGAUAUUGAAAAUUAAUUGUUACCUAGCUUUUACUCUUUCGUUAAACCAAUCUGCCAACUCAGUUAAUAUAUUUUAUUCUUGAUUUACCAGAUCUCAUUUUCCCAUUCAGAUAUGGAUUUAAAAGACAAGAUUGACCCAAUGAUUGACGAGGUUAGACACCAAGCAAUGCGAAAAUUGGAAGAAAAUGGUAAGAAAGAUGAGCUUAAACGAAUGCUUCGAAACCGGUUAAAUGAAAAUCAAUUUGAUGAAAAAGUAGCCGAAUUGUGUAAGAAUUACAUGAAAGAUAAAAACAUUGAAACGUUAACCGUUGAUGAAAUAUUGAGAAAUGUUACACCGGAAGCUCAUAGGAUUGUUCCAGAUAGCGUUAAAAGAGAGCUGCUAACUGCCAUCAAAGGUUUAAUAACCGGGGAUCAACAAUAAAAGAACCAAGAAACGAAGGGAUGGAGAAAGAUAGAGGUGAUGUUAAUGAUAAUGAUAGGAAGGUGAACUUGCAUGUCAAUGCCAAACGAAAAGUGAAUUUCAAAGAACAUCAAUGAAUCAUUUUAUAUUGGAAAUGAAGAAUGGAUCAACAUCUAGAACAGUAUGUCAGGAAAUUAAACACUUUGGUGCCCUCAAUUGAACUUUCUAAUUCACUCUUUUUUCCUGUUUAUUUGAAUUCUACAAAAAAGCUUCCAAUCAUCACCAUAUUUCAAAAGAUAUGUAAUGAAGUGUAUCCAAUAUGUGAGGAAAUGUCCAAAAGAUAACGCAACUCAUUAUUUUCACAGGAUAUUAGUCCAAAGCAUCAUUUUUUCAUUCAUCUUUCUCAUCUAACGGCUAUCAUUGAUGACGGAAAUCUAUCAAACAAUGUGAUACUGCGGUAACAAUCUGGCCUUUUAAAAUACAUCACUAACUCCACAAAAAGCAUUAAUAUUGUUAUUAUCAUUAUCGUUUUUAUAGAAGAGAAAAAAAGAUCCUUAAUUGUAUCAAAUAAUAAGUAAAAAUUACAUUCAGUAAUUGUUAUAAGAAGAAAAAGAGUUUUCUCAAUGUUACUAAUAAUGAUUUUGAUGUUAUCAGGGAAAUAAUUCGGUCAAGCCAAUUGGUUGUUUAUGGUGUAAUUAACGUGUUUGUUAAAUAGGAAGCCACGAAACGUAAUAGGAGCUAAUAAUGUGUAAAUUUGAUUUACGAAAUUUGAAGCUACCAAACUCGCUCACUGAAUUGCCUCGGACGUUAAUUUUGUUUUAAAAAUACACAAAUUCAAAUGAAAACAUGUACACAAACGCCAACAAAACUCAUCUAUAUAAAUACCAAUUUAUGUACGGCAGAUGAUGAUUGUGAUUUAGAUUUAUAUGGAUAAUGAAAGGAAGGAUCCAAAAAGAUGUUUUAUUUUGACCACCCGCUGUAGCCUCAAGAGUUAAACACGCGUGUGUUUACCAUUCACUCUGCUUUUGAGGUUAAAUUAUAAUCGUUAUUUAAUAUUAUUUAACCAACAAUUGGAUAAGCAUAAACCAGAAGAGAAAGAUUAAGAUGCUGAUGGUGAUGCCGAUGAAGGAGAGCAACUGGAAUUUCACCCGUUUUUUUCGCUGAUUUAUAUAAAAUUAGCUUUUGUGUAUUAUAAAAAUAUAAGUGUUUAUGAAAAAGUGAAAUUGAAGCUUGUUGUUUCCAGAUUUGAAACAUUAGCACACUAAUUCAACAAUUGCUGGAGGAAGAGUAAAUUUAGAGGCAGCGAUCAUCAUCCUCAUCAUCACAACAUUAAAAAUCAGCCUCACUCGGAAACGACAAUAAUUUAUUCAUUUUUGCCGGCAACUAUUAUGUUAAUUAUACGCCAAAAGAUUGCUGUAAACUACUGGCUAAAUUGCAAUUUAUUUGGCUGUUAACUCAAACUGAAUCAAAAGACAACCAAGAUGAUAUAAAAUUGGCUGCUGUGUUCAUCCAUCAUCUACUACGGUUCAGUUAAUCAAAUAUGAAUUAAAUCAACUAUGACAAUGAGGAAGUAUCCUAACCAAAGGUUUUCUGUUAUUAACCUUGAAAUCAAAUUAAUAUCAAAAAUAUCAGGUUAAAAAGUGGAAACAUUUAAACAUUGCGGUUAUUUUUACAUUCUCAAAUCAUCUAAAACACAACCACAACAAUAACCAUUAAUUUCAUCCAUUAAACUUCCUCGUUAAUUGAAGCAAUUAAUAGAUUCGAAAAUAAAGCCUUUAAAAUUCAAAUCAGCUACUCUAAUUAAUGUAAAUUUAACUUCUAAUUAGAUUUAAUUUAUCAAGCAA